rnacentral:rRNA from 1 species
CACGUAGGGGGCAAGCGUUGUCCGGAAUCAUUGGGCGUAAAGCGCGUGUAGGCGGUUCGGUAAGUCGGCUGUGAAAGUCCAGGGCUCAACCCUGGGAUGCCGGUGGAUACUGUCGGGCUAGAGUCCGGAAGGGGCGAGUGGAAUUCCUGGUGUAGCGGUGAAAUGCGCAGAUAUCAGGAGGAACACCAAUGGCGAAGGCAGCUCGCUGGGACGUGACUGACGCUGAGACGCGAAAGCGUGGGGAGCAAACAGG